rnacentral:rRNA from 1 species
UAAUACGGGGGGAGCAAGCGUUGUUCGGAAUUACUGGGCGUAAAGGGCGUGUAGGCGGCCUUGUAAGUCGGGGGUGAAAUCCACUGGCUCAACCAGUGACGUGCCUUCGAAACUGCAUGGCUUGAGUAUGGCAGAGGGAAGCGGAAUUCCAGGUGUAGCGGUGAAAUGCGUAGAUAUCUGGAAGAACACCGGUGGCGUAGGCGGCUUCCUGGGCCAAUACUGACGCUGAUGCGCGAAAGCCAGGGGAGCAAACGGGAUUAGAUACCCCGGUAGUCCUGGCCGUAAACGUUGGGUACUAGGUGUAGGAGGUAUCGACCCCUUCUGUGCCGAAGCUAACGCAUUAAGUACCCCGCCUGGGGAGUACGACCGCAAGGUUG